rnacentral:lncRNA from 1 species
UAAAGUUGGAAUUUAGGGUCCUGCCAUGUGAUCUGUAAGGCUUUGUGGCCGUUGAGGAUGCCUACGUUACUAGUAGCAAUUUAAACAUAUGCAAGCAAGUUGCUCUAAAACAAAGAAAAAUUAAUUCUGGAGGUUUUAAUGACCCCAUACGCUGGCCCUAGUCAGAGAUUAAUGACGCGUCUCUUCUUGCUUUUUAAAGUGUUGAAUCUCUUUUAGGUGAGGUGUUAUGGUGACCAUAUGGUUGUGCCCUUGAAGGAAUGCGUGGUGACAAUUUAUAAGACUAAGGAAAAUAAGCUCCCACUAGGACUAUUGUUGGGCCAACAUAAUCACCAGUAAAUAAGACAAUGCUUUAAAUCUCUAUCAAACAAAGAAUCAAAUCCGUAAUAUGUACCCUAAAAUAAUUAAUAAAGAGUGUCUUGCAUAUCAAGUUCAAGCAUCCUUUGCACUAAUUGUAUUUCAUUCACAGCUUUCAGUGGAUGUUCUUUAACUUGAUUCACAUUAUAUGUUUCUUUUAGAUAGCAUUUCAACACCCUGCCACUUGAUUUGAGCUUGAAAAGAGAGCAAGGGUUAAAGUAUCGCUUGCCCAUGUAUGUCAACUGCUAGCAUGGUAUGCCUAUCAUGCUGAAUUGUGCAAGUCUGUUAAAAGAUAUGCUGCCCACGACUUUCCUUUAUAAUAUAGACCACAUUAACAUAUACAUAUGUUAUCGAACAUAUAUAGUUUGCAACUAAUAUAGUUUGCAACUAAUACGUAGAAAUUUAUAGUUUUAAGUCAUCUUAGAUAUCUUCACUUACCCUAUGUCUUGUUCGGGUUUUGAGGGGAAGAUGGAUAUGAUUGAAAGGAUGGAUGGUCUCCAUCUACCGUUUGAUUUAAAAGUUUUAGAGAGGUGGAUGAAAAAAGAGAAUUAUAAGUUUUAGAGAGGUGGAUGAAAAGGGAGGAUUAUUCAUUCAUUCUGCC